ACCUGCUGAGCUUCUGAGCUUAGUGGGUUGCCAGUUGUGAGUUGCAGAGUGAUCUGGCUGCUGGCUGCUGGUCUUGGAGUUGGGGAGGCAGUAUCUGCGUUCUGAUGGGAGUAACUGGAAAUUAUUAAACAAGGGGUGUGAAGGAUCGUCACAGAUGGAUUUUGCUUUCCGUAAAACACGUGUAUGACAGAUGGAGCAGAGGGCUGGAAGAUCAGUCCCAGUGACCUUCGGACAUAUUUUCACCAGGCUGCCCAGUUUGUUCUUGCCUCUCAGAUUCAGGCAGCCAAACCAGCAGAUCAGGGUAAAAGUUAGAACAGAUUCAAUGAAGGACCGCCAAAACAAAAUCAACAAUGAAUUAAUUGACCUUAAAAUACUUAAGCUUCCUUAAGAAAAAACAGCCGCUGUCGACCCUCAUAAGUGUUCAUGAGGGGGGGUAGGCUCCCCCUUUCGAGCCUUGGUUCCUCUCAAGGUUUCUUUCUUCUUUAGUCUAGGAAGUUUUUCCUUGCCACUGUCGCCUCAGGCUUGCUCUCGGGGGUUCCCAGAAAUCUGUAAAGCUGCUUUGUGACAAUGUCCAAAUGUACAAAGCGCUAUACAAAUAAACGUUUCUGAUGAUCAGGUCAGUAUUGGCUUCGGAAUUAAGCUUGGAGUCCAGAACAGUCCCCAAGUACUUGUAUUGUUCUACUGGCUGUGCUGAAUCUCCCCCCAUGUACUGUAGGUUAGGGUGGGAGUGUGGGUGUAUUUCCUGAAGUCAAUUAUCACGUCUUUGAUCUUGGACACAUUAAGCUUGAGGACGUUUUGUUCACACCAGGUGGCAAACUCAUCUAUGAUUGGUUCCUGGCUCGACUCGUUUGCUUGUAGCAGGCUAACAAUGACAGAUUCGUCAGCAAAUUUGAUAAUGUGUCUUGAGUGGUGAUAGCUCUUGCAAUCGUUAGUGUAUAGGACAAAGAGUAAGGCAGACAAUACCCAUCUCUGGGGAGGACCAAGUAGAGGAAUGCUUUUAGUUGGAUAAAACAUUGUUGACUCUGGGUUCUGUCUGUUAGGAAAUCAGUAACCCAGCUGAUGAGAUUGAGAUCAAGACCAAAGUUUGACCAUAGCCUAGUUGCCAGUAAGUGAGGUUGGACACACUAAAAUGCAGUGUUUUGUGAGUUUGUAAACAAAACCUUAACAAUAUUAAUACUUAAAAGCAAAUGAUAGCACUUCCGAAAUGUUCCAAAUGAAAUAAUGUUCUUCCAUUUGUAAGUGCGCGUGUAGCUCCCACUUGCGCCCCCUGGUGGGUGUCCAGGCCGCUGGGCGGGCUUGGGCCUUGGGGUGGCGUGUCCUGCAAGCUCCUCUGCUCUGUGUCUCCCGAGGGCAGCAGUCGCAGGAGGAGCAGCACUGGCACGAGCUGGAACGCAGUCUGGAGAGGCAGGUGCAGCUGGGAGAGCCGGGCCCCGCGGCCCCCCGCCUGCCCCCUUCGCUGAGAGGGGCCACCUAGUGCCCUCGCCAGGACGGAGAGCCUCACGGCACCCAGACUCACCACGGGGACAGCUGCCAGGAAACAAACCGCCCCUUGUGUCUGCUGGAUUGACCCUUUCAGUGCCUUUGAGGAUUUUGAAUACUUGUAACAACGUGCAGGUCUCAAGCCCUGGAAUGUACCUGGCCUCUUUUCCCUGGAUUACAGCGCAGCAACGUCUUUGUACUAGUAAGACCUCAUUUAGAAUAGUGUCUGUGAUUUUAGUCUACACAUGAUAGAAAUGUACAAUUUUCACAUAAGGAACCAGUAAAGGUUUAUUCCCUGCUGAAAAGAGCAGAAAGGAAACACAAUGUUUCAGCUGGGGAGCCUUCUUCGGGUAUGUAGGCUCCAUGGGUGAAACCAAAACAUUGUGUUUCCUCUCUUCUCUUUUCAGCUGGAAUAAACCUCUUACUUGUUCCUUUGCAGCCUACACAUGCCAACGCCUCCACCUACUUGAACUUUCUUAACACAAUGUCCUUUGAUUUAAAUUCAACCCUUUUAAUAUAUGUCCUUAUAUUUUGUUUGCCUUUUUAAAAUUGCUUCACCACGUGGUCUAUAAUAUGUAAAAGAUGUGUCAACAUAAACACCUAAAUCUUUUUUUGUAGCAUCUUAUAGCUCAGUGUUUCAAGUUUUUUAUUAAUAGUAUGUGCUUUGUUUUAAUAGUAUAUGAUUUUACUAGGAACAAGUAAUAGGUUUAUUCUAUGCUGAAAAGAGAAAUAAGAAAACACAACGUUUCAGCCGUGGACCCUUCUUCAGGUGUGACUACUUGCAUAUAAAACCCUGCACAAUUCUUCA